rnacentral:rRNA from 1 species
UACGUAGGGGGCAAGCGUUGUCCGGAAUCAUUGGGCGUAAAGCGCGCGCAGGCGGCGGUGCUGGCCCGGCGUGAAAGCCCCCGGCUCAACCGGGGAGGGUCGUCGGGGACCGCACCGCUUGAGGGCGGUAGGGGCUGGUGGAAUGCCUGGUGUAGUGGUGAAAUGCGUAGAGAUCAGGCGGAACACCCGUGGCGAAGGCGGCCAGCUGGGCCGUCCCUGACGCUGAGGCGCGAAGGCGUGGGGAGCGAACGGG